rnacentral:lncRNA from 1 species
UUUUUAGCUCACCUGUCCCGAAGGGACAAGUGAGCUUAUGCCAUCACUUGGCGUCCGUCGUCGUCUGUCGUCGUCGUAAACUAUUUCAAGAAUCUUCUCCUCUGAAACUACUGGGCCAAAUACUUUCAAACUUUAACUGAAUGUUCCUUAGGGUAUCUAAUUUAUAAAUUGUAUCCGAAGUUUUGAUCUAUCAACAAACAUGGUCGCCAUUGCUAAAAAUAGAACAUAGGGGUCAAAGGCAGUUUUUGGCUUAUAACUCAAAAACCAAAGCAUUUAGAGCAAAUCUGACAUGGGGUAAUAUUGUUCAUCAGGUCAAGAUCUAUCUGCCCUGAAAUCUUCAGAUGAAUCAGACAACCCGUUGUUGGGUUGCUGCCCCUGAAUUGGUAAUUUUAAGGAAAUUUUGCUGUUUUUGGUUAUCUUGAAUAUUAUUAUAGAUAGAGAUAAACUGUAAACAGGAAUAAUGUUCAGCAAAGUAAGAUUUACAAAUAAGUCAACAUGACGGAAAUGGUCAGUUGACCCCUUUAGGAGUUAUUGCCCUUUAUAGUA